AAAGGAAUAGACGGGGGCCCGCACAAGCAGCGGAGCAUGUGGUUUAAUUCGAAGCAACGCGAAGAACCUUACCAGGUCUUGACAUCCAAUAAAACUUGUAGAGAUACAUCGUGGACUUCGGUCCGUAUUGAGACAGGUGGUGCAUGGUUGUCGUCAGCUCGUGUCGUGAGAUGUUGGGUUAAGUCCCGCAACGAGCGCAACCCUUGCUAAUAGUUACUAACAGGUGAUGCUGAGGACUCUAUUGGGACUGCCGGGGACAACUCGGAGGAAGGUGGGGACGACGUCAAAUCAUCAUGCCCCUUAUGACCUGGGCUACACACGUGCUACAAUGGCUACUACAAAGAGAAGCAGAGUCGAGAGGCCGAGCGGAUCUCAUAAAAGUAGUCCCAGUUCGGAUUGUGGGCUGCAACCCGCCCACAUGAAGUCGGAGUUGCUAGUAAUCGCGGAUCAGCAUGCCGCGGUGAAUACGUUCCCGGGCCUUGCACACACCGCCCGU
rnacentral:rRNA from 1 species